ACGAACGCUGGCGGCGUGCCUAACACAUGCAAGUCGAGCGGAGACAGUGAGUAGCUUGCUAUGAACUGUUUUAGCGGCGGACGGGUGAGUAACGCGUGAGCAACCUUUCCCAGACAGGGGAAUAACACACCGAAAGGUGUACUAAUACCGCAUAAGACCACGGGAUCACAUGGUUCUGGGGUAAAAGAUUUAUCGGUUUGGGGUGGGCUCGCGUCCGAUUAGGUAGUUGGUGAGGUAACGGCCCACCAAGCCGACGAUCGGUAGCCGACCUGAGAGGGUGAUCGGCCACAUUGGGACUGAGACACGGCCCAAACUCCUACGGGAGGCAGCAGUGGGGAAUAUUGGGCAAUGGGGGGAACCCUGACCCAGCAACGCCGCGUGGAGGAAGAAGGUUUUCGGAUCGUAAACUCCUGUCCUUGGAGACGAGUAGAAGACGGUAUCCAAGGAGGAAGCCCCGGCUAACUACGUGCCAGCAGCCGCGGUAAUACGUAGGGGGCAAGCGUUGUCCGGAAUAAUUGGGCGUAAAGGGCGCGUAGGCGGCUCGGUAAGUCUGGAGUGAAAGUCCUGCUUUUAAGGUGGGAAUUGCUUUGGAUACUGUCGAGCUUGAGUGCAGGAGAGGUUAGUGGAAUUCCCAGUGUAGCGGUGAAAUGCGUAGAGAUUGGGAGGAACACCAGUGGCGAAGGCGACUAACUGGACUGUAACUGACGCUGAGGCGCGAAAGUGUGGGGAGCAAACAGGAUUAGAUACCCUGGUAGUCCACACUGUAAACGAUGAAUGCUAGGUGUAGGGGGUAUCGACCCCUUCUGUGCCGCAGUCAACACAAUAAGCAUUCCGCCUGGGGAGUACGGCCGCAAGGUUGAAACUCAAAGGAAUUGACGGGGGCCCGCACAAGCAGCGGAGCAUGUGGUUUAAUUCGACGCAACGCGAAGAACCUUACCAAGUCUUGACAUCCUCUUGACCGGCGUGUAACGGCGCCUUCCCUUCGGGGCAGGAGAGACAGGUGGUGCAUGGUUGUCGUCAGCUCGUGUCGUGAGAUGUUGGGUUAAGUCCCGCAACGAGCGCAACCCUUAUCUUCAGUUACUAACGCGUGAGGGUGAGGACUCUGAAGAGACUGCCGGGGACAACUCGGAGGAAGGUGGGGACGACGUCAAAUCAUCAUGCCCCUUAUGACCUGGGCUACACACGUGCUACAAUGGCCACGACAGAGAGAAGCGAAAUCGCAAGGUAGAGCGGAACUCAAAAAAGUGGUCCCAGUUCGGAUUGUGGGCUGCAACCCGCCCACAUGAAGUCGGAGUUGCUAGUAAUCGCGGAUCAGCAUGCCGCGGUGAAUACGUUCCCGGGCCUUGUACACACCGCCCGUCACACCAUGGGAGUUGGGAGUGCCCAAAGCCGGUGAGGCAACCGCAAGGAGCCAGCCGUCUAAGGCAAGACCAAUGACUGGGGUG
rnacentral:rRNA from 1 species